rnacentral:rRNA from 1 species
GGCAGAGGGGGCGAGCGUUGUCCGGAGUCACUGGGCGGAAAGCGCGCGCAGGCGGCAAACUAAGUGUCGUGUGAAAGCCCCCGGCUCAACCGGGGGAGGCCAUGGCAAACCGGGUCGCUCGAGCUGCGGAGAGGCCCCUCGAAUUGCCGGUGUAGCGGUGAAAUGCGUAGAGAUCGGAAGGAAGACCAAGGGGGAAGCCAGGGGGCUGGCCGCAGGCCGACGCUGAGGCGCGACAGCCUGGGGAGCAAACCGG